CCCUUGAGGCGUGGCUUCCGGAGCUAACGCGUUAAGUCGACCGCCUGGGGAGUACGGCCGCAAGGUUAAAACUCAAAUGAAUUGACGGGGGCCCGCACAAGCGGUGGAGCAUGUGGUUUAAUUCGAUGCAACGCGAAGAACCUUACCUGGCCUUGACAUCCAGAGAACUUAGCAGAGAUGCUUUGGUGCCUUCGGGAACUCUGAGACAGGUGCUGCAUGGCUGUCGUCAGCUCGUGUUGUGAAAUGUUGGGUUAAGUCCCGCAACGAGCGCAACCCUUAUCCUUUGUUGCCAGCGG
rnacentral:rRNA from 1 species